AUGGAGUUCACCGCAAUCCGGGCCUCCGCGGCGGCCGCUGGUGGCUGCUCUUCGCCGCCGCCUGCGGCGGAUCAUAAGGCCGAGGAGGAGGCGGCGGGGCCGGUGGAGAAGGAGCACAUGUUCGACAAGGUCGUGACCCCGAGCGACGUGGGCAAGCUGAACCGGCUGGUGAUCCCGAAGCAGCACGCGGAGAAGUACUUCCCGCUCGACGCCUCCUCCACCGACAAGGGCCUCCUGCUCAGCUUCGAGGACCGCGCCGGCAAGCCGUGGCGCUUCCGCUACUCCUACUGGAACAGCAGCCAGAGCUACGUCAUGACCAAGGGCUGGAGCCGCUUCGUCAAGGAGAAGCGCCUCGACGCCGGGGACACCGUCUCCUUCGGCCGCGGCGUCGGGGAGGCCGCCAGGGGGAGGCUCUUCAUCGACUGGCGCCGCCGCCCCGACGUCGUCCUGCCGCCUGGGCACCACCGAGGCUUUGCCCUCCCCUCUGUGCCCUUCUCGCCGUGGAUGGCUCACCCGGCCGGACCCGGCGGCGCUGGCGGCAGGAUGUUCCUCCAGGCGACUACGCCGGCGACCGUCUACGAUUACGACGCCUACCAGCACAACCACCAGCGGCGACACAUCGGAUACGACGGGUACGGGGCGGCGCCCGGCAGGCAGGUCGUGUACUACCAGCCGCAGCAGCACUACCACCACCAGCACCAGUCGCUGGUCCUGGAGUCGGUGCCGGUGCGCAUGGCGGCAGCGCCAGGGCACCCGGAGCCGUCCGCGGUGGCGACGUCGGGGUCGAAGCGGGUGCGGCUCUUCGGGGUGAACCUCGAGUGCGCGGCGGACGCCGAGGAGGACUUCAGCGGGCACGGGAGAACGGCGACAACGGCGCUGCAGCUGCUGUCACCGGCCUCCUCCUCAUCGUCGUCGUCCGGGAAAGCGAGGUGCUCUUUGAAUCUUGACUUGUGA
rnacentral:rRNA from 1 species